UUAAGAUGUUAAGCGGAUGACACGUCUUAGUUUCUGAGGAAUUUAAAGAAGCUCCUUCCUACCACCUAAUUAGACCAAUUACUUUGCAAGGAGCUGUGGGACUCAUUUCUGAUACAAGGUUGGGAGGAAUCAACAUCACUCUCACAGGGUCGGUCGGUUGUUUGCACUGUGCUCAGGUUGCCUAAUGAACCACUCUUCACUGCUUGAAUAUAGAAGCCAGAUCAUCUCCUAGUGAAAACAUCUAGAGGAAAAACUGCACCUUUUCUUCACUGUGUGUGUGUGCUAAAGUUAAAUCAGCAGAGGAAUUGUGUAUUGCAUCUCACUAGCAACUCUCACAGAACUGCCUGAGUGUGAACUGUUCAAGCUGUUCUCCACAUGUCACAUCUGCAGCAGGAAGUGCUAAGGAAGAGAUUGGUUCUUCCUGAUCCGUACACAGUCAUGCCAUAGGAUGGACAGACACACCACCCCACUGUUGAGCGGGUCAGACAGCCAAACUCCACUUCCCCAGUUUACUCUGCUUUGCUCCAUAUCCUGAUCUGUCUCCUCAUUGGCUGUGCUGUGCCACAGGCCAGCAGCUCAGAUCACCUCCUCCAGGCUGGACAGAUGGUGUUACGACUAUAAGAUGAUUAUCCCACAGCAAAUCCCGGGCCUUAGUCAUUCUCCCACAGAAGGUAUAAGAGAAACAUGAUUGCGUACCGUUUUAUUUCUUCAAACAACUGCUUUUGAAAGAAGUUAGAACCCUUCUUCCUCCUUUUCAGAUAAAGACUCUUGCCUGUGUCAUGAUGUUUACUUUCUAAUAUUGCUGCUUUUACUACCCUCUUUCAAAUUUCCAGUUAUUGGACUAUCACAUGGGUCACUCCAUGAAUCACAGAAGCUCAGAGUCCAACACUUAUUCAGGCAAACACAGGGAUCAGUCAAAAAUAUCUUUAUUGUAACUUGUAGGGUACAUGGUUGUUCUGUUUAAACGUAUUUAACCUAAUACAUUAGCCAGAUAAGCUAGGAUAGAUUUUGUAUAAUAUAUUUAUUGGCCUAUUUUAAAUGCAGGAAGUAAAAUACUUUUAGAUCUAAGUAAUGUCAAACAUACAUAAUCCAAGAGAAAAGAAAGGGAAGGGAAGAACAGGUACUUGUAACUUAUGUCAUGUGCAGAUUCUAGUUGCAUGCUACUAGGUAGUAAAAUACUUUAGUUUGUCCUUUCAAGGUUAGAGCCUGAUGCUGAAAAUAUUCCUGUACUCAAGUAACUUUAGUCAUGCAAGUAGUCCUCAUCCUACUGAGUUCAGUUUGACUAUAGAUGUAAAUAAAGUAACUCAGAUGUGUAAGAGUUUGCAGAGAGUCAGGCCAUUUCAUGGGAAAUAUUCCACAGAAUAUAUUUUUCCACUGUUGCUAAUGUAUUUUUGAACUUAAGUUUUUGUUAUCCAGUUUCAAACUCUCUUUCUUCCCCUUCUCCCAUCAACUGGGAUUGGGUUAUUGUGGAAGCAUCCACCAUCAUCAUCUGUCCCAGCUGGCAUUAAGUUUCAAUUACAUUGUUUUAAAGGGCUAAUUUUUUCAGAGAAUCAUGUCACUUGCUUAGAGAUGAAAACGAAUGGGGUUAAACAUUAGAGUUACUGGUUAUUACUAUGAAAAUAAUUUCUUCAGACCCAUAAAUGUGCAUUGUGAUUUUUAAAAAGUAAGUCAACCUCCUUGCCCCAAACAGAUCACAGUCCAAGAUACAUGUAUUACAUUUAAUUGUAUUAGACACAUUCAUUCAACAAACUACAAAACAAUGACAAAACUGAAAUUAACAUAUGUGCCAAUGAACCAGAAUAUUCAAACAGCUGAUUUACAUUUCUGACCUCUGAGAUUAAUGACAUUUGGCACCUGCCUAUCUCUGUUGAAAGCCAAUUCUGUAGUUCCUGAGCAUGGAGAUACAGAGCCUAUAUUACAAUGAGAAUAUUAAAACACCAAGCAGAAAUGUAAAUGUAAGAAAUGAUGGAACCCAUCUAAUGUCUGAACUGGGGACCACAGUACUUAUAGUUAACUGCAAACGAGCCCUGCCAGUCAGGUUUGAGUGCACUUUCUGUUGUCCUUAUUUUUCAAUCCCUUGGUAUCAUUCUAUUCCACCCUUUCAAAAUGUGCUUUUGUUUAUGUGCCAUGAAACACUAAAUUCAAGAGUGCUUC